rnacentral:rRNA from 1 species
CCUANGGGAGGCAGCAGUGGGGAAUCUUGCACAAUGGGGGAAACCCUGAUGCAGCGACGCCGCGUGAGCGAUGAAGCCCUUCGGGGUGUAAAGCUCUUUCGGCAGGGAAGAUGAUGACGGUACCUGCAGAAGCAGCUGCGGCUAACUACGUGCCAGCAGCCGCGGUAAUACGUAGGCAGCAAGCGUUGUUCGGAGUUACUGGGCGUAAAGGGUGUGUAGGCGGUCCUUUAAGUUUGGUGUGAAAUCUCCCGGCUCAACCGGGAGGGUGCGCCGAAUACUGAGGGGCUAGAGUGCGGGAGAGGAAAGUGGAAUUCCUGGUGUAGCGGUGAAAUGCGUAGAUAUCAGGAGGAACACCGGUGGUGUAAACGGCUUUCUGGACCGUAACUGACGCUGAGACACGAAAGCGUGGGUAGCAAACAGGAUUAGAUACCCGUNUANUC